GACGAACGCUGGCGGCGUGCUUAACACAUGCAAGUCGAACGGUGAAGCUCCAGCUUGCUGGAGUGGAUCAGUGGCGAACGGGUGAGUAACACGUGAGCAACCUGCCCCUGACUCUGGAAUAAGCUCUGGAAACGGCGUCUAAUACUGGAUACGAGAAGGGUCCGCAUGGUCACUUUCUGGAAAGGUUUUCGGUUGGGGAUGGGCUCGCGGCCUAUCAGCUUGUUGGUGAGGUAAUGGCUCACCAAGGCGACGACGGGUAGCCGGCCUGAGAGGGCGACCGGCCCCACUGGGACUGCGACACGGCCCAGCAUCCUACGGGAGGCAGCAGUGGGGAAUAUUGCACAAUGGGCGAAAGCCUGAUGCAGCGACGCCGCGUGAGGGAUGACGGCCUUCGGGUUGUAAACCUCUUUCAGCAGGGAAGAAGCGAAAGUGACGGUACCUGCAGAAGAAGCACCGGCUAACUACGUG
rnacentral:rRNA from 1 species